rnacentral:lncRNA from 1 species
CGCUCCCAGGUACUUCUUCACUUGCACACUCUUCUCUGCAAAUUCGAAAAGCUACCAUUCUCAAUAUGGUUCGCUUCACUUGUACACUUGUACAAAACAUUGUUCGUGCGAGGUUUUAGUUUGGAGGACUAUUACCAUAGACAUCCAUCUAAAAGUACUAGCGUGACCAAUUUUUCAUAGAAAACAUUCAUAGCUUUAAUAUAUAAAAAUUGUUGAUAAAUAAUAUAAAAAGUUAAUCUGAUCAGUUCAUGACAUGGUAUAAGAGUUUUUAAGUUCGAAAGGUUUUCAUUUCGAAUUUUGGUAUAACCCCAAUUCGUGCACAUGACUUAUUGAAGUUGUGCAAACAUUUACUCUUCUCCCUACAACAUGCAACGAUUGAAUCCGAUUUUUGGAGCCAGGGACAUUGCUUCCUAGAUCCGAUCCAGGAGCAAUAUGGGCCCUUGGAUUGUCACAUGAUCUACGGGUCAAGAUUAACCAAGGGCGAUAUGGUUUACAUAUUUUUGUUAGAUUAGAACACAACCAUCUUCUAUAGUCCGACCACCGUCUCAAUUUUAUUUUCUUGAAAUAUUUUCCAACGACCGGCAAUACAACUUUGUACGGAAAGUUAUACCGAUCAUACAUAUGUGUAAGGUUUGUAUAAACCCAUAUACAAGUGUGUGCACAUUUUUAUGGUUUUUGUAAAAAGUGUAAAUAUUAAUUUUUUUUUGAAGUAAGUGUAAAUAUUAAGUAUUAUAUUAAGUAUAAUGGCGGUAUAAUAUACUUGAUUUAUACAUUUGUAUGGUUAUGAACUAUCAAUUUUGCCUCAUAUUUUUAGCAGUAAGAUCUAAAACACGAUUUUUAGACGAUUGAGAUUUAGGUGGGUAUUCUGAAUUCGAGAAGCCAUAACUCUGGCUCCAUAUACGGAGUUGCAACAGUUCAUGAUUAAGGUUAGUCUGGAAUAAUUAACGACUCUUAAACCGGAUCAACUAACAAUGAACUGCUCCUAAACAAAUUCAAUUCAAGUGAAAUCAGUGGCUGAUAUACGAACCUGAAUCGGUACAGUCGCGGUAAAGGGACUCAACCAUGGCGGUGACCUCAUCCUCUCGAAUCGGGCGCAGCCCUUCCAAUCGCUUUGGAGUGAACAGCUCAACCGUGCAGACCUUCCUCACCUUCACGUAGUGCGGCCCAUAGUCAGCCCAAAUCAGAUCUUGACCGUCGCGGCUGAACCUCGCCGUCGACCUGGUCCGGUGGCGGUCAGCGAGCUGCUGGUCGUGCUCCUUGAGUACCUCCUUAGCAAGCUGGGUGUUGGAAACGACGACGUUGAGCGUGGAUCCGAACCAGACGGAGAUAAUCGGCCCGUACUGGUCCGCCCAUUCGGCAAAGCAGCGGAAUCUGACGGGCUUGAUGUCGUAGAGGUUUCCGACGACCGGGAGCGGACGGGGACCCGGAGGAAGCUUGAAUCGGAGGCGGUAGAUGAGAAAGUAAGCUAAGGGGAGGGAUGCGAUGAGGGAGAAGACGAUUGCGAUUAGAGGGAGCGCCAUCGAAGUUUGGUUUUAGUGUUCUUCUUCGUCUGUCUCCGAUUGAAUUGUGGAGAAGAUAAGGGGCGAUCGGCGGAGAGGAGAUGUGAUUUUUUUCUGGGUAGUUGGUAGAACGAGCGGUCUCAAAAGUCCCACGCGAAAUCAUAGACCAACUACCCAAGAACUAACUCUGCUAAUAUCAAUAGCUCCAGAAUAAAGACUGAAAAUGAAAUGACAUUCAAUGGGAAGACAACGAUGGCCGUGAUGGCAACUAUGGAGGGUAAUAUCUUAGGAAGAUUUCAGAGUUCAGAGUGGACGAUUGAAUCCUUAAAACACAACUAUGAAGAGAUCAUGAGAAGAUUCAUCUGAGCCAAGCUAAUUAGAAAUUAAUCCGCUCAUAACCUCUGAAUACAAAUAUAUAUUGAAUCUCAUGAUCAAUGUAGUUGCAUUUGAAUAAUGGAAAUUCUAAUCAAUUAUUUAUAAAAUAUCAAUAUUUUUUAUGAUUUUUUUAUGAAUCUAGGAAAAUAUAAAAAAAAUUAUAUGAUAUGGAAGAAAGAAUAAUAUUAAAUAUAUUUUAGACGAUGGUGUAUGAGUUAUCUCUCACUAUCUGGUGUUGUCAACAUAAAGAUACCACUUCAAUUCUAUAAUAUAUCAUCACGAUUAGGUCAUAAGUUGAUGCAUAAUUUUAUCUUUCCAAAACCUUCAAUUCCAUAUUUUGAUCAAAUCAAACAAUGGAGAUGGCACCAUAAAAUACCAUUUUGAUUCCAUGAGAUAUCACCACAAUGUAGUAGAUACUUCUAACUAUUUGACGUUGUUGACGGAAAGAUAUCAUAAUAAACCGCUCACACUUCAUCAGAUAUCACCACCAUGUAGUAUGUACCUCUAACUACCUGGCGUUGUUGACGAGAAGAUAUCAUAAGAUACAACUCCAACUCCAUCAGAUAUCACUACGAUGUAGUAGAUGCAUCUAACUAUCUGAUGUUGUUGACGAGAAGCUACCAUAAAAUACCGCUCCAACUUCGUGACACAUCACCACGAUGUAGUAGGUCCCUUUAACUAUCUGACGUUGUUGACGGGAAGAUACCAUAAAAUACCACUCCAAUUCCAUGACACACCACCACGACGUAGUAAGUACCUCUAACUAUCUAACGUUGUUGACGAAAAGAUACCAUAAGAUACCACUCCAAUUCCAUGACACAUCACCAUGACGUAGUAGGUACCUGUAACUAUCUGGCAUUGUUGACGGGAAGAUAUCAUAAGAUACCACUCCAAUUCCAUGACACAUCACCAUGAUGUAGUACGUACCUCUAACUAUAUGGUGUUGUUGACGGGAAGAUACCAUAGGAUACCACUCCAAUUCUAUGACAUAUCACCACGAUAUAGUACGUACCUCUAACUAUCUGGCGUUGUUGACGGGAAGAUAUCAUAAGAUACCACUCCAAUUCCAUGACACAUCACCACGAUGUAGUACAUACCUCUAAUUAUCCGGUAUUGUUGACGGGAAGAUAUCAUAAGAUACCACUCCAAUUCCAUGACACAUCAUCACGACGUAGUAUGUAUCUCUAACUAUUUGGCAUUGUUGACGGGAAGAUACCAUAAGAUAUCACUCCAAUUCUAUGACACAUCACCACAAUGUAGUAGGUACCUCUAACUAUCUGGCGUUGUUGACGGGAAGAUAUCAUAAGAUACCACUCCAAUUCCAUGACACAUCACCAUGACGUAGUAGGUACCUGUAACUAUCUGGCAUUGUUGACGGGAAGAUAUCAUAAGAUACCACUCCAAUUCCAUGACACAUCACCAUGACGUAGUAGGUACCUGUAACUAUCUGGCAUUGUUGACGGGAAGAUAUCAUAAGAUACCACUCCAAUUCCAUGACACAUCACCAUGACGUAGUAGGUACCUGUAACUAUCUGGCAUUGUUGACGGGAAGAUAUCAUAAGAUACCACUCCAAUUCCAUGACACAUCACCAUGACGUAGUAGGUACCUGUAACUAUCUGGCAUUGUUGACGGGAAGAUAUCAUAAGAUACCACUCCAAUUCCAUGACACAUCACCAUGACGUAGUAGGUACCUGUAACUAUCUGGCAUUGUUGACGGGAAGAUAUCAUAAGAUACCACUCCAAUUCCAUGACACAUCACCAUGACGUAGUAGGUACCUGUAACUAUCUGGCAUUGUUGACGGGAAGAUAUCAUAAGAUACCACUCCAAUUCCAUGACACAUCACCAUGACGUAGUAGGUACCUGUAACUAUCUGGCAUUGUUGACGGGAAGAUAUCAUAAGAUACCACUCCAAUUCCAUGACACAUCACCAUGACGUAGUAGGUACCUGUAACUAUCUGGCAUUGUUGACGGGAAGAUAUCAUAAGAUACCACUCCAAUUCCAUGACACAUCACCAUGACGUAGUAGGUACCUGUAACUAUCUGGCAUUGUUGACGGGAAGAUAUCAUAAGAUACCACUCCAAUUCCAUGACACAUCACCAUGACGUAGUAGGUACCUGUAACUAUCUGGCAUUGUUGACGGGAAGAUAUCAUAAGAUACCACUCCAAUUCCAUGACACAUCACCAUGACGUAGUAGGUACCUGUAACUAUCUGGCAUUGUUGACGGGAAGAUAUCAUAAGAUACCACUCCAAUUCCAUGACACAUCACCAUGAUGUAGUACGUACCUCUAACUAUAUGGUGUUGUUGACGGGAAGAUACCAUAGGAUACCACUCCAAUUCUAUGACAUAUCACCACGAUAUAGUACGUAAAAAAANNNNNNNNNNNNNNNNNNNNNNNNNNNNNNNNNNNNNNNNNNNNNNNNNNNNNNNNNNNNNNNNNNNNNNNNNNNNNNNNNNNNNNNNNNNNNNNNNNNNNNNNNNNNNNNNNNNNNNNNNNNNNNNNNNNNNNNNNNNNNNNNNNNNNNNNNNNNNNNNNNNNNNNNNNNNNNNNNNNNNNNNNNNNNNNNNNNNNNNNNNNNNNNNNNNNNNNNNNNNNNNNNNNNNNNNNNNNNNNNNNNNNNNNNNNNNNNNNNNNNNNNNNNNNNNNNNNNNNNNNNNNNNNNNNNNNNNNNNNNNNNNNNNNNNNNNNNNNNNNNNNNNNNNNNNNNNNNNNNNNNNNNNNNNNNNNNNNNNNNNNNNNNNNNNNNNNNNNNNNNNNNNNNNNNNNNNNNAGAGUUUAUUUAUAAGGAAAUUACAUAUAAACUCAAUCAAGUAAAAUAAAAAAUAUUUUAUGCAUGGUAAGAGUAACAGAAAAUCAAAUAUAUAAUCAUAUCUUAUAAUUAAUAUACUCACACACAAUCUUAUCAUCAUAUAUAAUAAAUUCCCCUCUAUAUAUAUAAAACUUUGCCAACUUAAUCAAACAAAUUAUAAACACCACACCAAGAAAAAAAAAAGAGAAGGAGAAGUUCGAAACCAUGCCGUUUUACCGUCAUGAAUUGGCCGUCGCCGCCGUACUCUUCCUCCUCCUCCUCCUCUCAUGCAGCUACUCCGCACACGCCGCGGAUUUCUGCGUAGCCGAUCUAUCUCUACACACCGCAUCCGGCUUUGCGUGCAAGGACCCCGCCAAAGUUACCGCCGGCGACUUCAUCUUCACCGGAUUAGCCCAACCAGGCAACACCAGUACUAAUCCCUUCGGGGCAGUUGCUGCCUUGGCCAUCGUCCAGCAAUUCCCGGCCGUGAAUGGCCUGGGAAUCUCAAUGGCCCGUGCAGAUUUCGCUCCCGGCGGAGUGUUCCCGGUGCACACCCACCCGGCGGCGACGGAGAUGAUCUACCUGCUGGAGGGGACCCUCACGGCGGGGUUUAUCACCGGCGGGACGAACAAGGUGUAUCUGAAUACGAUCAAAAAGGGGGAAGUGGCGGUGUUCCCCAAAGGGUUACCGCAUUUCGUAGCGAAUGCCGACACCACCAGUCCCGCUGUGGUGCUGGUGGCGUUCAGCAGUCCGGAACCGGGGUUUGUGUUGUUCAAUUUAGCUCUCUUUGGGAAUGAUCUUCCGUCGGCGUUGGUGGAGAAGUCCACCGGCAUUGCUCAAUCUGAAGUGAAAAGGCUCAAAGCUCUUUUCGGUGGUUCUGGCUAAUGAUGAUGUAUCUCUUCAGUUCAGUAUUUUUUUCUUAAUCUAUAAAACCUUUAUUAUUAAAUUUUUGUAGUUUUGAUGAUCGAGAUCCGCGAAAUUUAAUUUCACUAAAAAAGACUAAUAUCGUGGGAACUUAUACUUAUGUGAUGACUUUCGUGCCUCGUAAUUGGAGUUUUGUGUUCAUUGUCGAUCGUGGUUGCGUGGCCCGCCCUGUUAAUACACAAGGGUACCUUAGUGGCGCAGUUGUGAAAAUGUAACAAGGUCCAUUAUUUUUUCUACUAUUAAAUCAAUUGAGGUAACCUUUGGCUGUACCCAUAAUUCAGAACUUCCAUAUCUAUGAUUGAAUCUAUGAUUGAUUAACCAAGUAAAUUUCCCAUAAUUAAAAUGUUCUAUAAUUGAUUUUAAUUAUCAUCAAUCAAGUUUCCUUUUUCCCCUAUUUAUUUAAUUGCCCCAUUCUCUAGAGUCUAGAAGCAUGGGAAAUUGUCAUAGUAUUAUUCCUUAGUAACUGUCUCACAUAUAUUUUAUUAUGAAUUCGUAUCGGAAAAGUAAAAUUUUCAAUACUCAAAGCCUUACCAAAUAUCACCCUCCUACACAUGAAAAUAACCUAAUUUAUUUUCUAGCACAACAUUCAUCAAAUUUCCUACCUUUGUCCUCUUCAUUACACCAAAAAUAAAACUCAACAAAAAGAUGAAUUUUGUAGGUUUUUCAAAUUAUUAUUUAUCUUCAUGAAGUUUACAAAUUGAUUGACGAUAAUUAAUAAUCAAAUCAGAAGUUAUAUAUUUACACUAAAAACCACACCACAUUUAUGCUUUCCAAAAUUACAUUAAAAAGGUAGAUUUUCCAACACUCCACAAUGAAAGAAUGAUCUAUGUCUAGUUGUGACACAAAGAAACAGAAUGAUGCUAUGGUAUACAUACAUUAACGAGGAGGGUUGGCCAACCGGGUAACGGAAAGUACCCAAUCCCACAGCCCAAAAACCGGUUGCGUAGUGGGUACCUGUUUUCGACAAUGGUUCGAGUGGCAGCAAAAUUUACAGACAAAUCAACAACCAACAAUAUCAGAAGUCAAUAUCUAUCAAGAAGUAUGAUUCAAAAAGAUAGCUGCGAAUUGUGAAGACUACCGACUCUAUAUCGAGCUGGGUUGUGCAUCGAACAUCGUGUAGUUGCUGAGAAUGGAGUUCUAUAAGGCCUGAAUGUGAGCAAGAUCAUUGUAUCAGAAGAAGUUGACAAAGGAGAGAAACCAAAACAAAAGCAGGAAGAGUGAAAUCUCAAAGGCACCUCAUUUACAAGCUGGAAGCCUGGAAUCAUUCUUAGGGUCACUUUUCAAGAGCACAUACACACUUCUAGAGACUUCGGUGCAACUUUACUGGAAUUUCACAACCCACAUGAAUGGAUAUCAGAGAUUAAUCAGUUGCAACCAAUCAAACAUAAAGGUCAUGUUGCUAGGGAUCUAAUCUCGGCGAAGAACCUCUUGACAGAAAAUGCACAAACCUUGUAGCUUUAUGUACGAUAUUUCCAUAAGCCUAAGUCUUGAAACCAGAAAUAGCAUGAAUGCUAAUCUCCAACAAGUCGCCUCCUUGAUGUACGCUACAACACAAGAGUCCCGAAAUUACAUAAGACUGUCAGCCUGUUAUUUUUAUGUUAAAUUCAUAUUGUGAAAUGUUCAGAAGAAACGUCCCAUGUCAAAAACCACAACUUGAAGUAAAAACUAAUAAACAAUGCAUCCUAAACCGUCCUUGUAUAACUUUUGAUACUUCAUGACAGCUAGAACAUUACAUCGUUCACAGCAGAGUUAUUCAGGUUAUAGACAACAUGUUGAAAGUAUUAGAAUACUGAUUACUGCUCCCUUCACAACUACUAAUCAGCCAUACCCAUCAAUAAUUGAUAUAACUUCAGUAAAGAACAAGAUUACCUGCUUAGGAUGUGAUGAUGAUGAUAAUGUGAGUAGUGUUGCUUGGCCCACAGAACCCGUUUCUGCAAAUUAUUACACCAGAGCUCAGCCUCUAACACAGAUGGAUCAAAGAGGACGGCUGCAUACAAAGAUGAACAGGUUCAAUUUAUCCAAAUCACCAAAUGUUUAGCUACAGAUGACACAAGGAAUAUAAUUCUUGAUAACAGAGACAAAUAACGGAUUACCUCCUAAAAAAUGGUAUAUCAGGUUUUGGAUCCAGAUAAUCUGCAUAUGUGACUAAGAAACAGUCAGCAGCUCCUCUAAAUCAUUACCCCAAGCCUUCUCUUCCUCCAGGUUGACCAUGACAUCAUCUUCAGAGAGUCCAAUUCAAUCUCAAUUGUAAGGUCUCUAAAAUUCUGUUAAGGUGGCUAUAUCAUAUCCAAACAACUCAAUGUCCCCGUAAGAGGAACUUUGUUGUUCUGUGAAGGUAACUAUUUAAAUCAUAUCCAUGUGCUUCCAUCCGGUGUAAGAGACUGAGUGCUACAUCAUAACUUACAUCUUUCGAGCGAAGAAGGGAUUUAAGUAGCUGGUUGCAAAUUCGAGGCUUCAACAAAAAGCCCUUUUCAAUUGUGUAAUUGAAAACACCAACUGCAAGGUCUAGUUUCCCUUGUCUGCAAAGACCUUCUAUUAAGUUUACACAGCUUGGCGGAGUAAUAACAACGUUGCAUUUAUCAAGAACAGAGAAUACCGUAGACGCUUCUUCUAUUCUUCCGGACUGACACAGCCCAAUUAACCAGAUCAUAUAUGGGGCUAACUGAAAAUCAUUCAGCCUCAGGUCCAUCUCAAGUAAGCUUUGAAUUGCUACUACAGUUUCUCCAUUCUGAAAGAGCUCUUCUAUCUUUUCGAUUGCACCAGUCUCCCUGGCAGCAACGCUCCUCAGAUACUUUAACCAAAGACUAAAGGCUGAAGUCACAUUCUUUCCCCUGCAUGACCAAGUCAUAAGUGAUUUAUACACUGCUGUACUUGGUAAACAACCACUACUCGACAUUUGCUUAACCAUUUGAUCAGCUUCCUUUUGUCUUCCCAGCCGUAAAAGCCCAUUUAUCAGGGUUCCAUAUGUCACAGAAUCCGGUGCUAGACCACUAAGCGGCAGCUCAUUGAAGAGCCUAUAAGCUUCAUCAAUGUUCCCUGCUUUGCAGCAAUAGUUUAUCAAAAUGUUAUAAGUCCUAAUGUCAGGUACAACUUUCUUGUCAAGUUGCAGAAGAGUGUUGUAUACCUUCAGAAUCAAACCAGGUUCAUAAUUUUCCUGUAUUUUCUUCAUGCUAUCACGACCAAGACCCGAGAGUCGCAUAGACAGAAAAUCAUUCCUCAUCUCCUUUCUGCGUAAUGCUUCGUCAAGUUUCCCUGAUCGACACAGACCAUCAAUAAGUGCAUUAAAUGCAACCACAGAAGGAAAGCAUCCAACUUUACCCAUAUAGUCAAACAGUCGUUGAGCUUCUACAGUCAUCCCAUUCUUGCUCAUCCUGCUAAUAAGGAUCGUGUGUGUAUAAGCAGAAGGCAAAUAUCCAUGCUUCGAGAUCUUCAAAGAAAGCGCCUUUGCUACAUUAAGAAGCCCAAUAUCGCAAAGGCCUUUGAUCACAACAUUAUAACAUUGAAUAUCAGGAACCGGAGCACUCUUCGACAUCUCAUUCAACAACUUUAAAGCCUUGCUCGCCUUUCCUGCAUUCAACAAGCCUUUAAUCCAUACAGUGUAUAAGACAACAUCGGGAGUAUUGUGAUUCUCGAUCAUUUCACGAUGCCAUGUAUCUGCUUCUUCGUAUCUUUUAGCCCUAAUGAGCCCGUCAAUCAGACAGCUAUAUCCACGAGCGUCGAGUACAUAUCCUUCUUUACGAAAGGAUGUCAAGGAAUCGAGAGCUUCAUCUACUCUACCUAACUUACAAUAUCCAGUAAGCAAAGCAUUAAAAGUAGCGGAAUCGGGUUCGCAGCCUUUACUUCUCAUCUCAUCAAGCAACCUAUGUGCAACAUCAACCCUCUGGGCCUGGCACCAAGCCGAAAUGACCAUGGUGUAUACGAUUUUAUCAGGCAGGAUCCCCCUCUUCCCCAUUAUAUCGAACACCUGGAGUGCGCUUUUCCUCUCCCCACACUUAAACAAUCCACCAAUCAAGAUGGUGAAAGUAGUCCUAUUGGGAAUGCAAUUCAGGUUCCACAUUUGAUGGUAAACAGCUACAGCAAGUAAAGAAACCCCUUUCCGCAACAGAGUCUUCAGAAAUGCAUUGUAAGUAAGAACAUCUGGCUUACAAUCGAAAUCUCGCAUCACCCCAAAAGAUUCCACAGCCUUCUCAGCCAUGCCUUUCUUCUCAUAAGCUUGAAUCAAAACUGAGAAAGCCUCAGGUGGAACCUCGAGUUUCCAGCUCUUCAUUUCGUCCAAAACCUGAUUGUACAAUUCGAUACCUCUCUCUUCGCUCAGCAUCCGGAGUAUGACGUCCCGAGAUUCCCAAGUGCGGAAACGCUUGUAUCUGGACGCCCAGAUGAAGAAUCGGAAACCUAAUUGCGGAGUGGGCGGGUCUUGAAUGACGGAAGUUACGUCAGCAGGGGAGAGGAAAGGAACCAUGGCGUCCAGCUCCGGCUCCAUCGGAUUGACAGUCUCGAUAAUCGAUACGAUUUCAUUUGAUACAGUGGUUUCUGAUAACGAGGAAGCUGCAUGGAAGUAGUUGAUCCAUGGAAGCUUCCGAUGCGAGAUCCGGUGAAGCAGGAACAGGAGUUGCAUUGGUUUAUGGCAAUAAGAAGUAGUAAAUUCUAAUGAUACCGAUAAAGACGAUCACCCGGAAAUGGCCGGCGGGGAGGAGGAAUCUGCGUAGGCAGUUUUCUGAGGAGUGCGAGUGGCCGCCGGCGAAACAGUGUGGAGAAGCUUUGGUUUAGCAUACAUCUGUUUGUGGAAUGCGGCUCCGGUGCGAGUUGGCCUACACUGCACCAUCAGGGAAAGAGAUGAUAGUGUAGUUGGAUCGGGUUAAAUUUUAGGCCCGGGAUUCUGGCCCAGUUACAGCGGCCCAUGCUAACUAGUGUUUCGGCCUCUUCGGGGUAAACCGGGUAUCCACAAAACAAUUCCAGAGAUUUUUAUGCCGUGAAGGAAUUUUUUGCUUUUUAACAAAAACAAUCUAAUGGUAAUUCUUAUGGUAGAAGUCUUUCGCAAUCGACGAACAUCGUGUCUAACAAAAAGUGUAUAGAUCACAAGUAUUUUACAAGUAAAAUCGACCUCAAUUUUUACUUUUUAUAAAGCAAAAAUAUUAAAAAUCGAAUGAAGCGAAAUAACAAAAAAUGAAAACAAGUUUAAAAACUAAGAACAAAAGAAAAAUCUAACAAAUUUGGACACAAGUAGCAGCAUCCUAAUUUGCAUUCUAAAAAAGACUAGGAUCUUAACCGUUUCAUCGUUCGAACUUAGAGAGCCAGCCCGGUCACUACUGACUAACCAGCUGGUGGCGCCCCCUUACAGAUCCUAAACUUUUUUGGUGAGGAAAAUACCCACCACAUACAUGAUACAACUCGUACUCUCGGACAGGCGGCUUCUCGAUCAGCUCCACGAGGAACCUCGCCUUUUCCACAAAGUCAGUAAGCGCCAAAUUAGCAACCUGUUUCUUCAUGGUGGUCGUGGUCUUCAUAGCAAUCGGACGAUCGAAGUGCGAUGAUAGUGCGAGCAGAAAAGAGAACCAAUCCGCAGCUUUGGUCCAGGCUUGGGUCUUCUCGACAAUAGUUUGUCGAUAUGUCGUGCUGAUUUUUUAUCGGUUGUUCAAACCGGUCCGAUAAGUUCGACCCGAAGAACUCGAAUUUUGGAGGUAGGAUUACUUAUGUUGAUAAUAUACUCUUAUAUUUAUUAUCAUUUCUCUUGAACGUUGACUUGCUUUUGGGAAUAGUGUAUAUGCAGGCAUCUCGUGAGGAGCCGAAAUAUAUUGAAGUGUCGGCGAUAUCACUUGAAAGACGCAAAGAUAAAAGAACAGUAGAUGCGAGGCGAUAGAAAUUUCUGACGCGAAAUAAGAAAACCUAUGAGAGUUUACUCGAAUCAAUUUUCGGGUGUUGUUCUCGUACUAUUUUUAGGACUUCGGUUGAAUGGUUCUUUAGGUUCUUAGCAUGGUUGAUGAUGUUAGGGUUGAUUUUGUUAGAACAUUUAUAAUAGACUAGAUUGGAUGCCGCACGAUAUCGCGAAACAUUAGCUUGAUUAUGAUUAGAUGUUAUGCACAUGUGCUUAAGUAAUCGUAUGUAAGCUUGAAUGUGAUAUAAAGAAUAUAAUGUAAGGUACGAAAACAAUUUUUUUCAAUUCGACUGAGAUGGAUGAAUUACGAAGAGUAAGAUACUUAUGAAUUGUUAGCCAACAGCUAUUGACACAAGCGAGUUUGAAACAUUUCCUGGUUAAUGUGGGUGUUUGUUUUGUUCUGUUGGCAUCAUUACUGCUCGCAAAACUACCACCAUUUCACUUCAAUCUACGAAUCUCGAGAAUUCGAAUUAGAUUCGCAAAAUUGGGAACAGCAUGAAGAACGAAGAAGAAGGUUGAAGUAUCAACACGGGAGGCUAAAAGUAUGACCUACAACUUUAUGAACUCUCUGAGCUUGCAAUGACCCCAAGAAACCCUUCAUUUCAUAUCUUGGGACUUCUUUAAAGCAUUGAAGACAUCUUGUAGGGUUAAUUCCUCCACUAUAACCACCUUGUCUCUUGAUUUCGAGCCCGCCCCAAGGGACACCUGCCUUCUUUUCACCCCUAAUACCUGUUCGGAGCGAUCAAGAAAGCCGAACUCGUGAAAAUGGCUGGUAGAACAAAGAAACAGAUACUGUAAUAAGGAUGCCACAAGUUCAUAGCUUAAUUAACUACUAAUUACCAAGGCGGCUUAGUAGCUUCUAUUAAGACCGAGUUGCAGAGGAUAACUAAACAACCUAAACUGUCACGAAGAUACGAUCAUCAACCAGAUCAUAUGUUCCUUCUUCAAGAAAGGCAAGCAGGCAAAAAAGUGAAACCAUGGGUUUACUGGUACAUUACUCAAACCAGAAGUAAAUUCAACAUCUUGGUUAAGCUAAUGAGUUCAUUGACACCUAGUCUAUAUUCUAUGUUGCAGAUCGAUGCUGCUCCACUAGCAAUUGCAUAAAAAAAGCCACAGAUAAUAACACUACUACAGCAGGAUCACCAGCUCAAGUCAAAUCAUUUCUAUAGUUAAAACUUAAAAGAAGAGGUUGUAGUCAUGCAGCAAAUUCUCUCCGAUUCUCACAAAGUGAAGAUUGGAAAUUUAGCAGAUUAGUGAAAGCUAAGCUUACAGAGCUGAUGUAAUCAAGAAGAGCUGCGUUGGCUUCACCGUCCUUGGCAAGGGCGUCGAUCUGCACUCCUAAAGCUUCGUCACUGAAAUCUAUCUUCACAGAAUCAAACCCCAAGACGAACAAUUCAGACGCCAAUACAAGAACCAGAGAAACCCAGAAAAAAGAUCAGAGGAAAACACAAAACCCUACCUGUGAUGGAUGCCGAUUUAGCGCCGGGCUUCGCGUGGAUGGUGAUGGCCACUGACGACGGAGGUACCGAUCGAAUACAUGAGGGGAAAUCGGAGGAAGGUUUUGGUUCUGAUUUUUGCAACGGAGCUGAGUUCGCCUUUCCUUUACCUUUCUUGCUCGAAGGAGCCAUUGUUGUUCAAGCUCUGUUCGAUGAUCUCUUCCUCCUCGUUUUGUAGCUCAGCAGCUUUGCAUUUUAGUGCCCCGGUUUGUGUAAAAAUCACAAAAUGAUCCCUUUUCUUCUUCAAAUUUACAUUUUGAUCACUACAUACUAACCCGACCGGUUUACCACAACCUCACUCGAAAACAUCUAAGAGCCAAUUUAACUGCAAAAAGCAUCUUAUGAUCACUGAAUUCACUAAUCAGUAUGCUGCAAUCAGAGUUGAAACUAUAAAGUACAAACCCAUUUCAUUGAAAAUAAUAACAGGAAAAUUCUGCAGCUUAGUAGACUCAAUUGUGUACAUAUGGAUGGGAUCUUCACUCUUACAUGGAAACAUCAGUUUACUGCUGCCAGUAUUCUUCUUCACUCGCUCACUUCAGAUAUCUGUUAGAGAUGUACUCAGCGAUAGCCAUGCUUGAGGUCAGGCCAGGAGACUCGAUUCCAAAGAGGUUCACAAGUCCAGGAACUCCAUGGCUAUUCUCUCCCUGCAUACCAGAACAUAACAUAUAAGGCUGAGAUUGUAACGCAUCGAUAAAAGAGGAGUUGAAGGAAAUCACCUGUAUUAUGAAGUCACCAGCAGCCUCGCCAGGGCCAGUUACUUUCGGUCGAAUCCCUGAAUAACCUGGCUCUAAUGAUCCAUCCUUCAGAUUUGGAUAGUACUUCCUUAUCUCAGGAUAAAAUCUCUCUGCUUGACUUGUAUCUACAGAGUAAUCGUACCUGAAAUCAGUAACUCUGUGUUAAAGGAGCCGCAUAGCAUCACAAACAGGACUUGUAUCUUGCCAGAAUUAGACUAAAAUGGCGCGGAACAAAGAUCAAAGAAAAGACUUACUGAUCUAGAAAGCUCGCAACAUCAUCGAUCGCUCGGAUCCAUUCAACAUUGGGGCCAAACUUAACCUGACCAUCCAAAUCAAGAGUAACGUGCACACCUAAACCACCAUCCUCUGGUGUAGGGUAUAUCAAAUGCUUGAAAGGAGGUUCCCUAGUAUUCGACAGGGUGAAGUACAGCCCACGAGCAAAAUGUGCAGGAGGAAUCACUACGCCACUUAUGCCGUCAAAUCUCCUUGCAAGGGGUAUAGCACUCAAUCCAGCAGAGUUCACCACAAGCUUAGGAGCAAGCACAAACUCUGGAUCCAGCUUUGAAUUACCAUCCCAGUUCUCAAGUUCUUUGCUCCCAGUCACUUGUAAGUUCAAUGAAUCCCCUUCAAUAUUCCCCCCAAUCACAGUAGAGUUGUAAGAGAAUGUUGUUCCAUGGUUUUCAGCAUCUCCCUAGUAACUGUGAAUAUAGAAUCAUAUUCUUUCAUCUGGGAAUUCAAUAACUGAUUACUCAAAUUGAACGAUUCUACACCUACAACCAAAAGCCUUAACAGUAAAGAAAGCAUCAGAGAGUGACAAUCAACAAUCCCAGAACCAGGAGAGAAUAAAGCCUUGACGCAACGCAAUUCAGGCUCCAUUUCCAUGGCUCCUUUCCCAUCCAGCAUCUUCAACCCUUCGACCCCGUUUUCAACGCCGCGAUUCAUCAGAUCGGACAGCUUCGAAACCCCAGACUCCCCGGUGGCGACUACCAUCUUCCCUAUCCGUUCGUGAGGAAUCCCGCGCUCCGAGCAGUAAUCGUACAGCAAUCUCCUCCCUUGUACGCAGAAGGCUGCCUUGAGUGAGUUCCGAGGGUAGUAGAUCCCGGCGUGAAUGACUUGGCUAUUCCUUGAGCUCGUGGAGGCGCCGAAGGUCGGAGCUGAAUCGACAACCAGAACUUCUCUUCUUCCCUUCAAAGCGAGCGCUCUAGCUACUGCUAUCCCUACUACGCCUGCUCCGAUCACCACGCAAUCGACCUUCUCUAUGGUAGAAUUGGCAGCUUCCCUGGAGAAAGUAGAAGAGCUGUAGAUUUUCUUCAGUAACUUCGUCAUCAUCUUUACCGAAUCGAGAUGAGCUUGGAGCUAAAGUAGAACUGUGUGGAGUAGUGGGAUAAACAUUACAGUGGCAUGGUAGCAAGAACUGGUGAAUUACAUUUAUAGUCAUUGAAGUUCAUCAAGAUACCAUUUUGGUGAAUUAUGUUUACCAAAAUUUGGCGAACUAGUCUACAAGUAUAUGAUCACUGAAGUUUGCCUUAAUACCAUUUUGGUUAUUAUGUUGAGCAAACAUUAC